UGUAAAAGGUUAAAUUUUCUGGGACAUACAUAUCGUAAAAAUCACUGCACUCCCAAAAUAACUGUCCAUCUUAACCAUGAGAGCAGCCAGCUUCAUUUGACUCAGUUCAUGAAAUACUUGGGAAUCUCAACCAUUGCUUCUUGAAUAACAAAAAUGAUCUAAUCCAUAGUCAAAAGUAGAACUUUUAAUAGGAUUCAGGGGACCAAUAGAGAGUCACUCAGUUAAAAUUUAAUUUGGGUGUACAAAAACCACAUUUAAUGGGAUUCGCUGCCACACCUAGUUUUCUUGGCUUUUCAUAAUUACUCUGAAAUGAAGAUCUUGAUUACUUUUUCUGAAAGGCAAAACUUUUCUUGCAUUCAUACCAUUUUAGAAUGGUGAUGGUAUUCCCAAUAAAUUAUAGAAAAAUUUAAAGAGGGCUUAGGCAUCAAAUGAAAAUUUCAAAGUUUAAGAAAUCGUUAUUUUAGUAAGUUCAGAAAUUAAUACUUUGCUUCCCAAUCACUUAAGUGGCAAACUCCUCUUUUUUAAAAAAAGAAAAAAUAUGAAUGUGUUUUGGGGGAUGUUACAGCUUUGGGUUGAAUUAUUUACAACUUAACAUAGAAAACAGUACCUUACCAUCACUGCAUGUUUUAUAGAGAUUUAUGACAGUCAUAGGUGUGUUGGACUUUUUAAAUGCACAUGUACAAAUCUACUUCUUUGACUAUGUAUAGAUACCAAAAUUUAAGAAUAGUGGGGAGGCGAUAUAUCAUACAAAACAAGCAAUGCUAAGGCUCUGAUUUAGCCCCCUGUCUGAAAGUGGUGACAGGUGGGAAGAUAAUAUGCUGCUUCAUCAAGUCUUGUCUCUGUUACAAAAUGUAACCUCAAAUUCAUGGAGUGAGUCAGCACAGUGAGUGCAUGAGACAUCGGGUGUGGUCCAGAUUCUCCAAGCUUAGGAACAUCACACUCUCCUCUUGCUUGAUUCUGUUUUCAUUUGACUGAUGAAAAUGAUACCUGCUGACUGAAGGUAAUCAAAUAGAGCAGCUAAUUUCAGAAUGUAUCUUAUUGUCUUUCAUUAUCAUCAAUACUUAAUCAUUUUAAAA
rnacentral:lncRNA from 1 species